rnacentral:rRNA from 1 species
AACGCGAAGAACCUUACCUGGGUUUGACAUGCUUCUGAAUAUAACUAGAGAUAGAUAUAGACUCGCAAGAGACAGAAGACACAGGUUCUGCAUGGCUGUCGUCAGCUCGUGUUGUGAAAUGUUGGGUUAAGUCCCGCAACGAGCGCAACCCCUGUCUUUGGUUGCCAACAUAUAAGGUGGGCACUCCAAAGAGACUGCCGUCGUUAAGACGGAGGAAGGUGGGGAUGACGUCAAGUCCUCAUGGCCCUUAUAUCCAGGGCGACACACGUGAUACAAUGGUAGGUACAGAGGGAAGCGAAGUGGUGACACGGAGCCAAUCUCAAAAAGCCUAUCUCAGUUCGGAUUGGAGUCUGCAACUCGACUCCAUGAAGUUGGAAUCGCUAGUAAUCGCGGAUCAGAACGCCGCGGUGAAUACGUUCCCGGGCCUUGUACACACCGGAGUA